rnacentral:rRNA from 1 species
UAAGGAAUAUUGGUCAAUGGACGCAAGUCUGAACCAGCCAUGCCGCGUGAAGGAUGAAGGUCCUCUGGAUUGUAAACUUCUUUUAUCUGGGACGAAAACGGGAUUUUUAUCUCAAUUGACGGUACCAGAGGAAUAAGCACCGGCUAACUCCGUGCCAGCAGCCGCGGUAAUACGGAGGGUGCGAGCGUUAUCCGGAUUUACUGGGUUUAAAGGGUGCGUAGGUGGGCUUAUAAGUCAGUGGUGAAAUCUCCGAGCUUAACUUGGAAACUGCCGUUGAUACUAUUUGUCUUGAAUAUUGCGGGGGUAAGCGGAAUAUGUCAUGUAGCGGUGAAAUGCUUAGAUAUGACAUAGAACACCAAUUGCGAAGGCAGCUUACUACACAAUCAUUGACACUGAGGCACGAAAGCGUGGGUAGCGAACA